CAUGUAGUGGGGAAAGGUACUUAAGUUGGAUCAUGUAGUGGGAAAGGUACUUAAGUUGGAUCAUGUAGUGGGAAAGGUACUUAAGUUGGAUCAUGUAGUGGGGAAAGGUACUUAAGUUGGAUCAUGUAGUGGGGAAAGGUACUUAAGUUGGAUCAUGUAGUGGGGAAAGGUACUUAAGUUGGAUCAUGUAGUGGGGAAAGGUACUUAAGUUGGAUCAUGUAGUGGGGAAAGGUACUUAAGUUGGAUCAUGUAGUGGGGAAAGGUACUUAAGUUGGAUCAUGUAGUGGGGAAAGGUACUUAAGUUGGAUCAUGUAGUGGGGAAAGGUACUUAAGUUGGAUCAUGUAGUGGGAAAGGUACUUAAGUUGGGUCAUGUAGUGGGAAAAGUACUUAAACAAUGACAAUUGCAAAAUCUUGUGGAACAAACCGUUGCAAUGCAAGGGAAGCCUGUGUGCAGUGGCAGUCUUAAAUUGGUUAAUUGUGCUCAGCACCCUUGAGGACUCUGUAGAUUUGUGGGAUGCAUUCAAAUGUGAA